GAAGGUCACGGCCAGACUAGCCGUUCAUUAUCAUUACUAUAAUAUAAAAUCUAAUCAUUACGAUAAUUACCAUAGGUGUCAAGUGGAAGUGCAGUAAUGUAUGCAGCUGAGGCAUCGCUAACAGACCCGUAGACUUGAGC
rnacentral:rRNA from 1 species